CCUACGGGAGGCAGCAGUGAGGAAUAUUGGUCAAUGGGCGCGAGCCUGAACCAGCCAAGUCGCGUGAGGGAAGACGGUCCUAUGGAUUGUAAACCUCUUUUGUCGGGGAGCAAAAGACGCCACGCGUGGCGUUCCGAGAGUACCCGAAGAAAAAGCAUAGGCUAACUCCGUGCCAGCAGCCGCGGUAAUCCGGAGGAUGCGAGCGUUAUCCGGAUUUAUUGGGUUUAAAGGGUGUGCAGGCGGAAGAUCAAGUCAGCGGUAAAAUUGAGAGGCUCAACCUCUGCGAGCCGUUGACACUGGUGUUCUUGAGUGAGUGAGAGGUAUGCGGAAUGCGUGGUGUAGCGGUGAAAUGCAUAGAUAUCACGCAGAACUCCGAUUGCGAAGGCAGCAUACCGGCGCUCAACUGACGCUCAUGCACGAAAGUGUGGGUAUCGAACAGGAUUAGAUACCCGUGUAGUC
rnacentral:rRNA from 1 species